AGCCGCAACUUAAAUUUGGACGGCUCUGCAAUUUUUAUUCACGAGUUGCAGCUGCAAUUUGGUCGCCUUUUUGCAGCUGCAAUUUUGUUCUUAUUUUUUGCAGCCGCAACUUAAAUUUGGCCAGCUCUACAAUUUCAAUUCUUGAGUUGAAGCUGAAAUCUGGUCCCCUCUGUAAUUUUAUGGUUAUUGGCAGCCGCAAUUUUGAUUUGUUUAAAUUGCAGCUGGAAUUUUCUUUUUAUUGUAGUUGCAACUUUAAUUUGGACGGCCCUGUCCUAGGUGCCCCUCAACAACAAAUGAUGUGCAACUCACCCCAAUUUAUAAAUUGGGCUCAUGACAAGCGGAAGUGUUAGGAGAAAUGAAAUUUAGAUAUACCUAUAAUCUUCUGACCGACAAGACUGAUGAGAUAUGGAGCAGUGGAACCCUAGGGAACCAAAUAUCCCGUUCUUUCUCAAAAGAUGAAAUUCCAAGAAUAAGAAUCAAGUUCUGCAACCAGCUCUUCUUCUGUGCUGCAAACAUAAUUGAACAAUCAAAAUUCUUGGUUCAAAAUCUCAACUCAUCAGUAAGUUGUACUUGCCUUUGAUUUUUUUUCUUACAAUUACUUGAAUUUUAGGCGUCUAGUGGUUAUUAAUUUUUCAUUGUACGUUUUUUGUUUCUAAACCGGCUGUACAUUCAAGGCUGAUUGCCGGGAAGAAGUGGCGCUCUUCGUGCACAAGGAUGUGAUGCAAUAAAAUAGAUACAAGAGCUGUACUUCUUUCUGUAGAAACAUACUAGGUCUUUUGUACUACAGAUACGUGCAGCUGUUGUAUGUUUCUUUUUGUGCGCUGAACAACGCGAACUUGUGUUUCGUCGUGUGUGUUUUUUCCUAUGAGUUUAUAAAUUCAUAGCGCAAAAACAUAUUACAUGGGACA